UUGAUAAAGGGCAAACUUCCUAGUGCUUUAGCACCACCUAGUGUCUAUUUAUGCACGCCUAUGCAAACACGCAUGCCCGUUACUCCCGCCCUGCUGCCACAAGGAUGACCCACUCCAUUCAUCAGAAGCUCCUCAAGUCCUUGUACACCCCGGAUGACAUGAAGCAGUUCCUAAGCGCACGGAAUGGGACUCUUUUGGCUGCCAUCAGCGAACAUGUGUCAGUGGAAGUUGGUCAGCUUUUUCAGCCCUUGUGUCAGCCUUCUAGGCCACCUCCUGGAUUUGUGACCCCAGAUAAUCCACCUGCAGUGCGGCCACCUCCUGGAAUUCCCACUCCAGUUGUCUUACCUGCAGUGCGAUCACCUCCUGGGCUUUCUCAGCGUGGUGCAACACCUGCAGUGAAGCCGACCCCUGGGUUCGCUGUACCUGGUGCAACACCUGCAGUGAAGCCGACCCCUUGGGUUCGCUGUACCUGGUGCAACACCUGCAGUGAAGCCGACCCCUGGGUUCGCUGUACCUGGUGCAACACCUGCAGUGAAGCCGACCCCUGGGUUCGCUGUACCUGGUGCAACACCUGCAGUGCAACCACCUCCUUGGCUUUCUGACCUGCAGUUCGAACAGCUCCUGGGUUUUCUGUCACAGAUGCUUCAUCUUCAGUGUGACCACCUCCUCUUCUUUCCCAGCUGUUACGUCAGCAGGGCUUUCAGUUUGAUCCCACGUCUGCAGUAAGGCCACCUCUUGGAAUUUCUACCCCAAACGCCUCACCCGCAGUGCAACCACCUCCUGGGUUUCCCAUCCCAGGUAAUCCACCUGCAGUGCGGACACCUCCUGGGUUUCCCAUCCCAGAUGGUUCACAGUCUGUGAGACCACCUCCUCGUCUCUCUGCAGGAGACGUUCCGCUGAUGUUGGGUCCACGUGCUGAGGUUUACCUCUUUGACGUCUCAGCUGGUCUGCAGCCCCCUUCACGUCCUCUUACUGAUCUCGCGCACUCUAAAGUACGCUCACAAGUUCCAGGAGGGGAAGUGGUAGAUGAGGCUGAAGCCUUUGACAGAGUCAAUCACAUUUGUGUCCACAACAAAUCACAGACAAUCGCAUCUAAUGAUCCAAAGGAUGUGCAGAUAGAAGCAGAUCCACUAUCUGGGAGAGUCAAGAUCAGAAGAAGGGGAGUGAAAGGUUUUCUGCAAAAAAAUAAAGAAGGCAUUGACAUGCUGUGCAACCACCAGUGAUGCAGAUGCACAGGAGAUUGAGCUCUCCAGAAAUCACUAAAACAUAUUCAAAAUAUCUUAAUUGAAUAUUCAUCAGAUAUGAUUAUUAUCAAGUUCAAGUUCAAUUUAUUUCUUUGUCCCAAAUGGGCAAUUUGAUUGCAGACAUAGAUCACAUACCACACAACAAUAGACACAACACACUACAAUACAGACAGAUAUGCAC